AGUGAACGCUGGCGGUAGGCCUAACACAUGCAAGUCGAACGGCAGCACAGUAAGAGCUUGCUCUUACGGGUGGCGAGUGGCGGACGGGUGAGGAAUACAUCGGAAUCUACUUUUUCGUGGGGGAUAACGUAGGGAAACUUACGCUAAUACCGCAUACGACCUACGGGUGAAAGCAGGGGAUCUUCGGACCUUGCGCGAUUGAAUGAGCCGAUGUCGGAUUAGCUAGUUGGCGGGGUAAAGGCCCACCAAGGCGACGAUCCGUAGCGGGUCUGAGAGGAUGGUCAGCCACACUGGAACUGAGACAGGGUCCAGACUCCUACGGGAGGCAGCAGUGGGGAAUAGUGGACAAUGGGGGCAAGCCUGAUCCAGCCAUACCGCGUGGGUGAAGAAGGCGUUCGGGUUGUAAAGCCCUUUUGUUGGGAGAGAAAAGCAGCAGGUUAAUACCCCGCUGUUCUGACGGUACCCAAAGAAUAAGCACCGGCUAACUUCGUG
rnacentral:rRNA from 1 species